rnacentral:lncRNA from 13 species
ACAGGAUGCAGGGCAGGUGGGUUCAGUUUGAUUUCAAAGCCGAUUGCCCGCGCCUCAGGUGCUUUGGUGUACCCUAUAAGGAUUGCAUAGGCCAGGCAGCCUAGGCUCUGCGGGUGAAGAUUUCUCUACCUCCCAGUGACUCCUCUUCUCCCUUAUCAGCUCUGAUAGGAGAGAGGAAGAGGGAAGAGGACGUCAAAAGUUCUGUUCAUCCGGAAGGGCUGGGAGUUACUUCCUGGGAUGGGGAGCUCGUGAGCCAAUCCAGAAGACGACCACGGGGUCUGGCGGGAGCCCCAACGCUGCCCUGAAGACUCGGCCGGGAGGGGGCGCUGUGGCCUCCCCACCCCCAGCCCGCAGGCUCCUAGCCGGGUUCGCCGCGCUGCAACGCAAUCCGCACCUGGCUUUACCCAGGGCUGCGUUCAGUGCCCACUUGUCCUGCAGGGCACCGCCGUCUCCCUUUCAUCUUGGGGCUCCCGGGUCCAAAAGGUUCCCAGAUCCAGCCCCUUGCCUGAACCAAAGUGGGCAGGCACUCAGAUUGUAAGAUGAACGAAUGAACGAAGGAACGAACUAAUGAAUAAGGGCUCAUCCUGCAGAACGUUCGCGUCUCAGCGCGCACUAGGCACGUCAAUGCCAAAGGUGCUGGGAGUCGGGCUCGGAGCCCGGCGCGGCUGGAGUGGGGGCGGCGAGGAGCUCCCGCUAGCCAGCUGCAGGGCGGGAACUGCCCAAACGCAGGUCGCAGCUUCCCCGGGUUCUGCGGCGGCUUCGCUCAGUGGGGACCGCCCUGUUCCACCGCCACCAAUAGCCUCGCCCUCAUAAAUUCACCUGAGCACCCCCGCCCAAGUGCCCCCGGCUCCCCUGGACUUCCCAGGCCCGGACCUCUGCCCGGCGGGAGGUAGGAGGCUGCAUCCUCUCCUGCCACCCCCUCGCCCAUCCCGGGCUUCUCCCCGGGCUGCGGCGGCCGCCACCGCCGCAAGCACGCCCGGAGGACUGCCGCAAACCCGGGCGUAGGGAAAGGGGAUCCUGGCGGCGGGGCGCAGGCGGCGGGCCAGGGGAAGAGGAGGGAGCGGGGAAGGAGCCGAGGGGCGAGGGGCAGGGAGGGAGCCGAGGGGCGAGGCGCGGAGGAGGGACCGAAGGGGAGGAGAGAGGAGGGGAGGGGAGAGGGAGAGGGAGAGGGGGGGGGGGGGGGGGGGGGAGAGGGGGGGGAGGGGACAAGCUGGGCGAGGGGGCGGGGAGCCAAGGCGAGGAGCCGCGCGGACCUUGCGGGAGGCGGCAGGGGCUAGGCUGGCAAGAAGCGGCCUCCCGCCGGGCUGAGUCGGGAAACGGCGGCCAGACUUCCCCGGGAAGGGGCGAGCGAGAGCCGGCCGGGCCGGGCUGCGGGGACGGGGAGCGCGGAACCGGGCGCCUCCUCACGGGGCAGCCACCGAGGAGUCCGGCCGCCCACCGCGUGCUGCCCGAGCCCGCAGCAGCCCGCCGGCCCCUCUGGGAUGCCUGGGGGACCCGGGCGUUCAGGACAGUAACCGAGCGAGCCGGAGGAUGGGACGGCACCCGCAGCUCCGGCUUGUCAAGGCCCUUCUCCUUCUGGGGCUGAACCCCGUCUCCACCUCCCUCCAAGACCAGCACUGCGAGAGCCUGUCCCUGGCUGGCAACAUCUCAGGUGAGCCCCUUCAACCCCCUCCUGCAAGAUUUCUGGUUGCCACAAUGCCACCACCCCAGGUCUCCCAGGGUCUGCACACAGAACCAUGAGCUAAGGCAGGAUUUGCGGAGUCUCAUCCUCUCUAGGGCUCCAAGCAAUUCUUCAGUCUCCUCGGAGCGCCGUGUUGAGAAGGAUCCCGCAGUUGGGUGUAAGGUUGGUGGGAAGGAGCUGCAGUUGGUUAGUAGCAUCUGUGGACCCAGGGGGAGCUUACAACAAGGAUUCUGAGUAGUUAUCUUCCCUGCUUCAGGAUGGGCACAGGUGAAGACACCCCAGCCCUUGCUGCUGAGCUGUGACUCCAGGAGGCAUCAGGGGAGGAAGAAAGGCUGCCACAAUCUGCAGCUAAAAAUGCCCAGAGUGUGAUACUGCAGGGUGCCAACACGUGCCAGGCACUGACCAAGGACUGGGGCUAUGUUAACCCAAUUUGCACAAUGUCUCUCUAAAGUAGGUGCUGUUGUCCCUAUUUUACACAUAAGAAAACUGAGGCGCAGAGAACCAGUAAGCGCCGGAGCCCUGAGUGGAGCGCAGCAGCCUGGCUUCCGGUUGUGAUAACACUGUGCUCUCUACCUCUCCAGUGGGAAAGACAGCACGGCUGCAGACAUUACUAGGAUCUGCAUCACUUUACCAUAAACAGAGUGCUUUUCAUAAUCAUCUUAUUUCAUCCUCACACGAGUUUAAAGCCUGACAUUUGUAUGGUUGAGGAAACUGAGGCACAGAAGAGUUACAUAACCCCCAUGGCACCGCACAGCCAGUACAUGGCAGUGACUGGGACCCAAAUCUAGGUCUUUGGGCUCCAAAGGGCAUGUCUUUUAAAACUGUGGGUGUGGUCCUGGGCAUGGCUGCUGCUGGGCAAAAAUGGAGAGGAUCCCUGCACCUGAGGAGACUUAGGAGGCGUGUGGACCUUCUAUUUAAGUCUUCAAGCCUCUCCUUGAUGCACACUAACUCUUUCCUGAAGCACCUACUACACAGCAGGCCCUAUGCAGGAAACUGGGCGAAACAAGAGGGGCUCACAGUCUCGUCCAGGAGUUGAGUCCACAAAUGCAUGUGCGAAGAGGCAGGGAGCAAGAUGUAUACUAGCGGAGAACAGUCACAAGUGUGCAGGAAGGCAGGAGGCAUUGGUUUCUGAAGCUGGCUCUGGGGGGACAGGAGGCCUCCACAGCUCAGGGCAGCUGCUUCCUGGCCAGCUGUUCCUUCACUAGGGAGAGCCUGGUGGCAGAGAAACAAGCCCUGGACUUGCAGAAGGCACACUGGGUUCCUGUGCUGGCUCAGAGAAGGUGCCUGGUCAUGUCCUGGCUGGGGCGGGUACUGGUAGCCACAGGGAUGAGCAUACCCUCAACCACCCUUGCACCUCACUUUACCCAUUUGUAGAGGGGCAGGGGGGCUGCUACCUGCCCCAAGGAUCUCUUAUGAGAUUCAAUGAGAUUCAAUUCAUAAGUUUUAUGGCAAUAUUUCACAAACUGUAAACCAUACAGCGUCAUGCCAAUACUAGGUUUUGUUUUGUUUUGUAAGAGAUGGGGUCUCACUCUGUCACCUAGGCUGAAGUGCAGUGGCACAAUCGUAACUUACUGCAGCCUUGAUCUCCUGGGCUCAAGCAAUUCUCCCAUCUCCACCUCCUGAGAAGCUAGGAUUACACAUGCACACCACCACAUCCGGCAAUUCUUCAAAAUUAUUUUGUAGAGACAGGGUCUCUGUUGCCCAGACUGGAGUGCAGUGGCACAAUCAGAGCUCACUGCAGCCCGGAUCUGGGCUCAAGUGAUCCUCCUGUCUCAGCCUCAGCAGGCUUUUAAAAGGCUUACUGUAUAGCUGGAAUGAAGGGAAGGAACUUGCCAGUGAUUGCUCAUAAUGACGGAGGGAGCAGGGAGGCUAGGCAGGGGUGGUGCAAAUCCAGGGAGGCUUCCUGAAGGAGGAAGUUUCAAGGUGAAUAUUAAGAGACACCCUUAGUAUGAACUGGCAGGAAAGAGCCAGAGCUGUGCCCUACACCAAGAGGUGAGCAAGGACCGGUAGGUGGGUUUGGCGGAAGGACCAGGGAGGAGUCAGGAGGGAGGAGUGGGAAGCCUGGGAAGGUACAAGGAGCCCUCAGCAUCUGGCUGCAAAGUUGGUUCACCUGUGAUGGGGAAUGGGGAAGUAAGCCCUUAAGCAGGAGUCUGGAGUUCUAGAAGGGAGAGAUGGGGAGGGAGGAGGCUUGCUCAGAGGCUGGGCCGGUGAGGAAAAGCUCUAUCCCCAGCCCCCCAGCCCUUAGGCCAGGUCAGGCUCUAUCAACGUGUUUGUUAUGUCAGGAGUGACAUCCCUGAGCCCACGAAGGUGUCACCUGUCCUUGCAGGUAGCAGGCCAUGAUGAAUGGCAUUCAUUCCACGGUGAUUUGUACCCCGUGCCCAUGCCUCCAGCCCAGCCUGCCUGGCUGCAUGGUGCGCAAUCCAUCACCCUCCACAGUGGCCUCUGAUAAUGGACCAUUUGUCUUCUGACUUGGAGUCCUACCCAGACCGACAGGCACUGGUAGAGACAGAUGGUGAGGGUGGGGCGGAGGGGCCAAGACAGAUGGGUAGGCGUCUGGCCGGGGCAGCUGGCAUGGAGCCAGGGUCUUUGGGGGGCCUUCAAUGUGCCUCAUGCCAGGAGCUGGGAGAGGAGUGGGUCCCCAGGGCUGAGGCCCAUCAUGUGGCAGGCCACAGACUUGGCAACUCAUAAAAUUAUGGCAUGAGUAUAACAAUGCCAGGAAGAAAUAGAGUUAUUUACUAGUAACAUCACCGACGAAUAGAAUCAGAGUUGACAAUUACCUGGGGUCAUCAGUUCUAUCUCUGGUCUUAAGGUAAUGAAGGAUAAUAAUAAUUAGCUAGGCUGGGCAUGGUGGCUCACACCUGUAAUCCCAGCACUUUGGGAGGCUAAGGCAGGCAGAUCACUUGAGGUAAGGAGAUUGAGACCUGCCUAGCCAACAUGGUGAAACCCUGUCUCUACAAAAAAUAAAAAAUAAAACAAUUAGCUGGGCA